GUGGCUGUAGCUCAGUCGGUUAGAGUACCAGGUUGUGGCCCUGGGGGUCGUCGGUUCGAAUCCGAUCAGCCACCCCA
rnacentral:tRNA from 1 species